GACGAACGCUGGCGGCGUGCCUAAUACAUGCAAGUCGAGCGAUGAAGAUUGGUGCUUGCACCAAUUUGAAGAGCAGCGAACGGGUGAGUAACGCGUGGGGAAUCUGCCUUUGAGCGGGGGACAACAUCUGGAAACGAAUGCUAAUACCGCAUAACAACUUUAAACAUAAGUUUUAAGUUUGAAAGAUGCAAUUGCAUCACUUAAAGAUUAUCCCCCGUUGUAUUAGCUAGUUGGUGAGGUAAAGGCUCAACAAAGCGAUGAUACAUAGCCGACCUGAGAGGGUGAUCGGCCAAAUUGGGACUGGGAAACGGCCCAAACUUCUACGGGAGGGAGCAGUAAGGGAACUUCGGGAAUGGAGGGAAGUCUGAACGGAGCACGGCGGGUGAGGGAAGAAAGGUUUCGGAUCGGAAAAAUCCGUUGGUAGAGAAGAAAGUAGGGGAGAAUGGAAUGCUCAUCAAGUGACGGUAACUAACCAGAAAGCGACGGCUAACUACGUG
rnacentral:rRNA from 1 species